UGUGCUCACGAGAGCCGUGUUCAAGUUCAAACAAUUUGUGAUGUUUGAUCACAGUGCGCUGUUCAUCUCGUGGCAACCGUUGUCGUCAUUAUUUGUUAUGUGGUGUACUGAAAACACUGAAAACCAUUCCGAUUCAUCGUUGGAUUAGUGCAAGAUCAUCCUUUUUUAAAUUGAAUAAAUUACUCGUUUAAUAAUGACGGUGUUUGAGAUGGUAUGGCAAAGCCUGAGAGUCCGGGAUGUCAUGCGCAGUUUUCCUUGGCUGGAUGUAUUCGGUUACGGGUCAGUCUAUCUACGCGCAAAAUAUAAUCAAUACCAUUUUACAAUAUCAUCCGGGCAAUUUUAAUGAUUUUACGAAUAAAACGUAUGUUAUAAAGAUAU